GCCCCAAUUCAUUAUGCCCCAAUUCAUUACGCCUCAAUUCGUUACGUUUUAAUUUUUUUUAGCAAAUUUUUUAACGUAUAAGAUAGUUGAGCAAUAUGAAAAACACAUUGAAUAAUGUUUUAGUAGUUUAUUUAAAAAAAAAAACAGAAAUUUAUUUCGAUGCAUCAAUAAAAAAAAUAUGAACCAUUCAGGUUUGUCUACUUGCACGUAUUGUUAUAGAGGUAUAGAUGGCUUGCCAUUUUACCAUCCCCUUUGGAAAGAGUAUCCAAUGUGUUUGUACUGCAAAGAAAAUUUAAAAAAUUGUGUAUCUUGUGAAAAAAAAAUAAGACAACGAACACAUACGUAUAUAUCUGCUUGCUGCCACACAUUUAUUACUGACUUAUGUGACAACUGUACCUAUCUACCUUUAAUUUGUUGUAAUAAAAAUGUAGAUUCUAUAAUUGCUAAAAUUUUUUAUUUUUAUGAUGCCUUUUUUGAUAUAAAAAUGUCUAAAAGUUAUAUUUUUUUUCAAAAUAUUUUUACAUUUAAUAAAAUGGAAUUUAAUGAAGUAAAUCAUAAAUAUACAUUUUCACAUAAAGUCUAUAGAUAUGCAAAGUUGGCUAAAAGUGAUUAUUUAGCUAGUAAAAAACAAGAUCGUAUGAAUAUGGAUUUUUUAGUUAACGAAUGUGUAAAGAUAUAUAAUAAACAAAAUAGUAAAAAUGACACAAGUACAAUUUUACAAAGCAAUAAAACACAAUUAACAUUAAACGAAUCAAUAAAUUCAGAAAGCUUAGAAUCUAUAACACCUUUAAAUGAAAACAAUGAUGAAGAAACAGCGAGUAUUUUUAACACAAAAACAGAAGAAAAAGCACUUAAAAGUAUGUUAUGUAAUUCAAACAAUGUGAAUGGAAACAGUGGUAGUAUAGAACAACAAAACUCAGAAGAAAGUCCUAAAAGAAAAAUGAAAUUUUUUAAAUUAUUAAAGGAAAGGUAUUUGCAAAGAUUAGAAAGAAAAAAGAUUAAAAAAAGAGGAAAAGGAGGAAGAGAAGGAGAAGAAGGAAUAGAAGGAGAAGAAGAAAGAGAAGGAGAAGAAGGAAUAGAAAGAGGAGAAGGAAUAGAAGGAAAAGAAGGAAUAGAAGGAAAAGAAGGAAUAGAAGGAAAAGAAGGAAUAGAAAGAGGAGAAGGAAUAGAAGGAGAAGAAGGAAUAGAAGGAGAAGAAGGAAUAGAAAGAGGAGAUGAAAAAAAAAAAAAUGAGGAACAAGAUAC
rnacentral:lncRNA from 1 species